GAUGAACGCUAGCGGCAAGCUUAAUACAUGCAAGUCGAGGGGCAGCGCAGUGUAGCAAUACAUGGGCGGCGACCGGCAAACGGGUGCGGAACACGUACAGAACCUUCCUUCGAGCGGGGAAUAGCCCAGAGAAAUUUGGAUUAAUACCCCAUAGUAUAUUGGAGUGGCAUCACUCUGAUAUUAAAGAUUUAUCACUUGAAGAUGGCUGUGCGGCUGAUUAGAUAGUUGGCGGGGUAACGGCCCACCAAGUCUGCGAUCAGUAACUGGUGUGAGAGCACGACCAGUCACACGGGCACUGAGACACGGGCCCGACUCCUACGGGAGGCAGCAGUAAGGAAUAUUGGUCAAUGGACGAAAGUCUGAACCAGCUAUGCCGCGUGGAGGAUGAAGGCCCUCUGGGUUGUAAACUUCUUUUAUAUGGGACGAAAAAGGGUCUUUCUAGAUCAACUGACGGUACCAUGUGAAUAAGCACCGGCUAACUCCGUGCCAGCAGCCGCGGUAAUACGGAGGGUGCAAGCGUUAUCCGGAUUCACUGGGUUUAAAGGGUGCGUAGGUGGGUUGGUAAGUCAGUGGUGAAAUCUCCGAGCUUAACUUGGAAACUGCCAUUGAUACUAUCAGUCUUGAAUAUUGUGGAGGUUAGCGGAAUAUGUCAUGUAGCGGUGAAAUGCUUAGAUAUGACAUAGAACACCAAUUGCGAAGGCAGCUGGCUACGCAUAUAUUGACACUGAGGCACGAAAGCGUGGGGAUCAAACAGGAUUAGAUACCCUGGUAGUCCACGCCCUAAACUAUGGAUACUCGACAUAUGCGAUACACUGUAUGUGUCUGAGCGAAAGCAUUAAGUAUCCCACCUGGGAAGUACGAUCGCAAGAUUG
rnacentral:rRNA from 1 species